UGGGGAAUAUUGCACAAUGGGCGCAAGCCUGAUGCAGCCAUGCCGCGUGUAUGAAGAAGGCCCUCGGGUUGUAAAGUACCUUCAGCGGGGCGGAAGGGAGUAAAGUUAAUACCUUUGCUCAUUGACGUUACCCGCAGAAGAAGCACCGGCUAACUCCGUGCCAGCAGCCGCGGUAAUACGGAGGGUGCAAGCGUUAAUCGGAAUUACUGGGCGUAAAGCGCACGCAGGCGGUUUGUUAAGUCAGAUGUGAAAUCCCCGGGCUCAACCUGGGAACUGCAUCUGAUACUGGCAAGCUUGAGUCUCGUAGAGGGGGGUAGAAUUCCAGGUGUAGCGGUGAAAUGCGUAGAGAUCUGGAGGAAUACCGGUGGCGAAGGCGGCCCCCUGGACGAAGACUGACGCUCAGGUGCGAAAGCGUGGGGAGCAAGCAGG
rnacentral:rRNA from 1 species